AGUAGGCUUUGACCUGGAUGACGCAGAUUGCAGAAGCAACAAAAGCUGCAUCAGCGUAUGUUCCAAAAGGUGGCUAUAAGCAGUUUCUCAAUGCGGAUGUUCUUAAAGGAAGGAGGUUAGGGAUUGCAAAAAGGAGCAAUUUUGGUGGACCAUUUGGAAAUAGCAAACGUCAAUGAAAUCUUGAAUUUCACUGCAAGUGAAGAACUGACAGCAUUACGUACUAGCUGAUUUCAAAAUGUCCCUAAACGCCUACCUGAAAAAGUGGGAGGCCUCGCCCGUGAGAUCAUUGGCAUUCCACCAGAAAAACGCAGACGUGGAAAUGUUGGAAGGUUUGGACAGGCCAACUUUCAGGCAGCCGAAGCCACAAAUGGAAUUGGAAAUACUGAGAAGAAUUCUGUGCACAAUUUAUACAGAGACUAAGGCGAGAAGGAUUUGGACGCAUUGGUGACACCUGGUGCAAGUGCAUCUUCUGUUCUGGCAAUAGGAGGAUUUCCGGGAAUCAGUGUGCCGGCUGGAUUUGAUCAAAGUGGGGUGCCAUUCGGCUUCUGCUUCAGGGGACUCAAGGGUUGUGAGCCCAAACUGAUAGAGAUUGGUUAUGGAUUUGAGGGGACCACUAAGAUUAGGAAGUCUCCAUCUUUCUAGCCUUGAAGCUAGUUAGCUGGCUCUCUGAAAAACCAUUAUCGAUGAAGAUGUAGCUGUAGUGGUUUCAGGUUUGGAUAACGGUGGCAGUUGUGGUUUUACUAACCGGUUGCUAAUGUUGCACCUACAUUUGUUUAACAUAUCACUCCCUUAUAAAAGUUAAAAACUU